GGCGUAGCCGAUGGACAACAGGUUAAUAUUCCUGUACUUUCUAUGAAUGUGAUGGAGUGACGGGGGAGGAUAGUACUACCACUUAUUGGAUUGUGGGGUAAAUAAUGACUGGGUCGUGCAGGCAAAUCCACACGGCGUAACCGGGAGUUAUGAUGCAUAGUGAAAUGGCGACAAAGUAGCGAAUUGGAUGAUUCCAUACCUCUUAAAAAAGCUUCUAACUUAAGUUCAUGGAAACCCGUACCGAGAACGGACACACGUCCCCAAGAUGAGUAUUCUAAGGCGAGCGAGAAAACUAUUGUCAAGGAACUCUGCAAAUUCAUCCCGUAAGUUCGCAAGAAGGGAUGCCCACCCUAAAAAGUGGGCCGCAGUGAAUAGUAAGGGGGAACUGUUUAUCAAAAACACAGCUCUAUGCUAAAUCGUAAGAUGAUGUAUAUGGGGUGACUCCUGCCCAGUGCCCGAAGGUUAAGCAAAGGUGUUAGCUUAUGCGAAGCAUUGAUGUGAAGCCCGGGUGAACGGCGGCCGUAACUAUAACGGUCCUAAGGUAGCGAAAUUCCUUGUCGGCUAAAUACUGACCUGCACGAAAGGAGUAAUUAUCUCUUAACUGUCUCGACAAUAGACUCGGUGAAAUUAUGGUUCCGGCGAAGACGCCGGAGACCCGCAUCUAGACGAAAAGACCCCGUGGAGCUUUACUAUAACUUCAUAUUGGAGUUUGAUUUAACAUGUGUAGGAUAGGUGGGAGACUGUGAUGCUUGGACGCUAGUCUAAGUGGAGUCGCCGUUGAAAUACCACCCUUGUUACGUUGAACUUCUAACUUGUACCCGUCAUCCGGGUAGAGGACAGUGUGUGGUGGGUAGUUUGACUGGGGCGGUCGCCUCCUAAAGGGUAACGGAGGCGUUCAAAGUUACACUCAAUACGGUCAGAAACCGUAUCUUAGAGCAUAAAGGUAGAAGUGUGAUUGACUGCGAGACCUACAAGUCGAGCAGGUGCGAAAGCAGGACUUAGUGAUCCGGCGGUUCUUCGUGGAAAGGCCGUCGCUCAACGGAUAAAAGCUACCCCGGGGAUAACAGGCUUAUCUUUCCCAAGAGAUCACAUCGACGGGAAGGUUUGGCACCUCGAUGUCGGCUCAUCGCAUCCUGGAGCUGGAGUCGGUUCCAAGGGUUGGGCUGUUCGCCCAUUAAAGCGGUACGCGAGCUGGGUUCAAAACGUCGUGAGACAGUUUGGUUCCUAUCUGAUGUGGGCGUUGGAAUAUUGAUGAGAGCUACUCUUAGUACGAGAGGACCGGAGUGGACGCACCGAUGGUGUGCCAGUUGUUUCGCCAGAAGCAUAGCUGGGUAGCCAAGUGCGGCAGGGAUAACCGCUGAAAGCAUCUAAGCGGGAAGCCCCCUCAAAGAUGAGUAUUCCCUUUUAAAUUCCUUAUAGACUAUGAGGUUGAUAGGCUGGAGGUGUAAGUGCAGUAAUGCAUUCAGCUGACCAGUACUAAUAAAUUGAUAGGUUUAAUA
rnacentral:rRNA from 1 species